rnacentral:lncRNA from 1 species
CUUCCCGGGAUGCAACUCGACACAGAUCUACGGGCGCUAUGCCGCGGAGACUUCUGGGAAAUGUGGUUCACUUGGUGGGAAGUGCGUGGUCCUGAGUGAUUAGCCUUCAGUGUGUUCUACAUUUCCUUCCUUCCCUCUUCCCUUCCUCCCUCCCUUCCUCUCUCCCUUCUUUCUCUCCGAACUUCCUUUCUUUUUUCUUAGCGCUGAAGAUUGAAGCCAGGGCCUUUGCGUUGAGCAAUAUUCUCCAAAAUGACUACAGUUAACAGAGGCAAUGUGGCAGAAGAAUCCUCAGACAUUGUAACAAAGUAAUUUUCAGAGCGUUACACAAAUAUCAGGCUGGUACAAAGCGCAAGAAGACAACAGAUAAGAGUAAGAAUUUCCUUCCUGACCUUGAAAGUGUCCACAGGAGGGUUCGAACUCAGGUCCUUGCACUUGCGAGACAGGCAGCAGAAUGACUGAGCAUUUGUCCCCAAACUGGAAACACCACCAGUGUCGCCAGGACACAAGUGAAAAAGUUGACGAAGGCCACCAGCACAGCAUCAAAGAGGCCGUUGUCUCUCACCGUAGCUUGAAAAGGCGAUGACACUACCAAGUCCCAGAUCUACGUAGGCAAAGACCCUGAACAGCAGCUUCUCUCCAGACCUUGGGGUCCUGCAUUAUUUCAAGCUUUGGAGUAAACAUGUGGCAGAUGCCAUCAGUUGAACCAUUUAAAAGCAAUGCUCUGAUUAGGAAGCAUAUAAUUACCACGUAUGGGAACGCAGAAGUAAAUAUAUAUAAUUUUCCCAGAAAACUAAAUGUUUGUGAUUGUUGCCAAGCAAACCAUGACGGAGGCAGCCAGCAAACAGAUCGUCAUUUUCCAGUUGAAGCCCUCACUUUCAGAAAUGGAACUGGAAAUAUCCAGUGCUUGUUUCUCUGUUCCAGUAGUAGGUGGUAGCAGAACUCUUUCCCCCCACAUUCUGGCUUUGUAUAAGUGUGUGAUGCAUUUUUUUAUGAAAGGACACUGAUUCCAAGCUAGAGGUUGCCAAAGAGACUGAGAAAAGCAAAACACAGUG